rnacentral:rRNA from 1 species
GACGAACGCUGGCGGCGUGCCUAAUACAUGCAAGUCGAGCGAAGCGGCGGAUGGGUGAGUAACGCGUGGGUAACCUGCGCUUAAGUCUGGGAUCACAUUUGGAAACAGAUACUAAUCCCGGCUACUAAAGGAUGGACCUGCGAUGCAUUAGCUAGUUGGUAAGGUAACGGCUUAGCAAGGCGAUUAUACAUAGCCGAGAUGAGAGACUGAGCGGCCACAUUGGUACUGAGAAACGGCCCAAACUCCUACGAGACGCAGCAGGAGGGAAUCUUCCACAAUGGACGAAAGUCUGAUGUAGACAAGCCGCGUGAUGGAAGAAGGUUUUCGGAUCGUAAAGUCCGUUUGUUGGUGAAGCGUUAAUCAACCAGAAAGCCACGGCUAACUACGUGCCAGCAGCCGCGGUAAUAC